AUUGAACGCUGGCGGCAGGCCUAACACAUGCAAGUCGAGCGGAUGAAGAGAGCUUGCUCUCUGAUUUAGCGGCGGACGGGUGAGUAAUGCCUAGGAAUCUGCCUGGUAGUGGGGGAUAACGUUCCGAAAGGAACGCUAAUACCGCGUACGUCCUACGGGAGAAAGCAGGGGACCUUCGGGCCUUGCGCUAUCAGAUGAGCCUAGGUCGGAUUAGCUAGUUGGUGAGGUAAUGGCUCACCAAGGCUACGAUCCGUAACUGGUCUGAGAGGAUGAUCAGUCACACUGGAACUGAGACACGGUCCAGACUCCUACGGGAGGCAGCAGUGGGGAAUAUUGGACAAUGGGCGAAAGCCUGAUCCAGCCAUGCCGCGUGUGUGAAGAAGGUCUUCGGAUUGUAAAGCACUUUAAGUUGGGAGGAAGGGCAGUAAGUUAAUACCUUGCUGUUUUGACGUUACCGACAGAAUAAGCACCGGCUAACUUCGUGCCAGCCGCCGCGGUAACAA
rnacentral:rRNA from 1 species